rnacentral:rRNA from 1 species
AACGAACGCUGGCGGCAUGCCUAACACAUGCAAGUCGAACGAGACCUUCGGGUCUAGUGGCGCACGGGUGCGUAACGCGUGGGAACCUGCCCUUAGGUUCGGAAUAACUCCCCGAAAGGGGUGCUAAUACCGGAUAAUGUCUUCGGACCAAAGAUUUAUCGCCUUUGGAUGGGCCCGCGUUGGAUUAGCUAGUUGGUAGGGUAAAAGCCUACCAAGGCGACGAUCCAUAGCUGGUCUGAGAGGAUGAUCAGCCACACUGGGACUGAGACACGGCCCAGACUCCUACGGGAGGCAGCAGUGGGGAAUAUUGGACAAUGGGCGAAAGCCUGAUCCAGCAAUGCCGCGUGAGUGAUGAAGGCCUUAGGGUUGUAAAGCUCUUUUACCCGGGAUGAUAAUGACAGUACCGGGAGAAUAAGCUCCGGCUAACUCCUUG